AGAGAGAGGAAAGGAGACGAAGGGGGAGUGUGAGAGCGCUUCUUCGCCCCAAGACACAGAGAGAGAGAGAGAGAGAGAGAGAGAGAGAAGAAGAAGAAGAAGAAGAAGAAGAAGAAGAAGAAGAAGGGAGAAGGCGUUCGAGAGGGCGUCGUUCUCUAAGAACUCUUCUCAGGUGAGAGCAAUCGUUACAUUUGCUUGUAGAAAAUGUUAGUUUCGAUUACAUUAGGGUAUCGAUCACUUGCCUUUGAUCUUCCCUGGAUUCUUGAUCCGCUUAAUUAUGUUUUCUUUUUGGGUAUAUCGUCACAUCGGUUCAGAUCGUUCUCUUUUUCGCAGAUUAGGUUUAUUUUUUCUUAUAUUUAACAUGAUUUUAUUCUCUAUUUGUUGUUAAUGUGUUUUCUGUUUGAUCUUUUCAUGAAAUCCAUGGGAUAUCGAGAAAUGUGAUACAUCGCCUACUCCUUUCCAGGCACGCCAUCUCAGAUAUAAUAGGCUACUCCUUCUUCUUCUUGGCACGCGCUCUCAGUUUCCAAUGUUUGUUCCGUUAAUGAAAUAUGUGGGACUCCAAGGGACGUGAUUUGUCACCUACUCCAUCUUUCCUGGAACACCAUACCGGGCGAGAGCAAUGCCCAUCCCUUGUUUGUUUUGGGCUCUUGAUCUCUUCUUAGGUUUCUUUCGGUAAAACAUCAUAUGGCAUGGGAUGGCCAUCUUUCCACAACAUAGGACCAAUAGGUGCACAGAUUAGUUUUCUUUUCUUUUAGUUUACAUGAUUUUUUGCUUCUAUUUAUUUCUGAUGUUUCCCUGUGUUAUCUUUUCAUGGAUAUUUUUCGAGAUCGAGGGUAUUGCGCGCCCCUUACAUCAUCGUCUUUCCUCCUCCCACUCCAUCUCAGAAUUGUAGCUGAAAUUGGAGCACACUUGGCAGAACAUUUGAAAAAAUUGGACUCAAAGCGGUGUGAGGUGAACAAAACCUAAAGGCCGAGGAACUGGAUGAACUAGAGAAAUUAGUUUGCACAUGAUUUAUUCAGGUAAUGAGAAACAUGUUGGAGCAUCUUGAGGGGUAAAACUUAUUUGGAAGUACAGAAUCUGGAUAAAAAUAAUGCUCUUCAAAUGCUGCAGUUUCAUAUUUCACAUAUGCAAUGCUUUCUGAUUAUUGGAGUGGCAGCCACAUGAAUUCUAACCCAGACAAGUAGUGUAUGACAAUGCAUAAUAACAUUGGAUGAAGAUCCAGCGUUAAAGAAAAUGAGGGACUAUUUGAUGGUGUUGAUGUUGAAGAGAUAUAUGUGAAUGAGCAGGACGUAUGAUGGCCCAGAUAUAGAUGGCAUCGGAAGCAUCAUUAGAUGCCAUUCUUAAACAAGGCAAUAAAGCAAUCCGCCAUGCUGCUAUGCCUUUUCCCGUACUUGGAACCUUAGACCAUGUAACUGAGAGUAAAGUAAGCAAGGCAGUAAAGUAAUCCAUCAGCUAACUGACAGUAUACAAGGCAAUAAAGUAAUCCGCCAUGCUGCUGUGACUUUUCCCAUACUUGGAACCUGAAACCACGUAACUGAGAGUAAAGUAACUGACAGUACAAGGCAAUAAAGUAAUCCGCGAUGCUGAUGCUAUGCUUUUUCUUUCGAGUGGUCUUCAUGUAUGAGCUGAUAUUUGCAAGAUGGACUUGAAGAAUGGAGAUCCCUUUGCUCUUUCCGUCAUUGAGGUAUGGGAGCUCUUUAGAUACACUUACACCAGGCAUUAAUAAGUUACGGCCCCCCAAAUGGAAAAGCCUAUCUACAGCAUCCAGAGAUCGUGUGAUGCAACUGUUAGCCAUGGGUUCAUGGGCGAUAACAAAGGAACUGCUUUUCCAUCUAUUUCACUGAAAUCAUAGCAAAGAUUGUUACUUUUCCAAUUUGAACAGAAUCUUUUCUCUAAUUUAUUCGUACAUGCUAUGCCAUUACUUUGGAAUCUUCAAUUUAGUUUGUUAUAGUGAGCUAUCACUGAGGGAAAGCCAUUGCUAAUUGAAGGCUUUUAAAGGCAUCUCUUACGUCCAAUAGCAUGGGUUGUUAUUGAUGAAAGGUGGCCUUCUUCCCAGUUAUUGCUCAUAAAGGCUCUCAGUCCCAGUAGGGACGGUCGGUAACUCGUCAAGUAUUUUACGAGUGGCAAAAGGUGACACUCGUCAAGUAUUUUACGAGUGGCAAAAGGUGACGGAUACAUCUCUGCUGAAGAUUCCUAAUCAGUUCAAUGCAACGUAUCGUCUUCUUUAUUAUCUUCUUUAUUAUCUAUGUUGACAACAUGUGUUAGUGGGUUUGAAAAGCAAUUAAAAGAGGUGGGUCUAUUUCUUGCUUUAAUAUAAUAAUAAUCUUGCUUUUCUUCCACAAGCAAGGACCAUGCGAGACGGACCUUGCUCUUUUUGGCAAUUUGGUGGGCAUGCAUGCUGAAGGUUAUAUCACUUGAUUUGAUAUGUUCCUAUCAUUCUUCUUUUUCUCCUGGCCCUAGAAAAAUAAGUUCAUUUAUCACUGGGGUCCAAGAUCGAGCUCAAAAAAGAGGUUUACCAGUAUCACAAUGUUACGUAUUCUUAUGUGAGUUUCGCUCAAAGGCUUACUAACAAAUUGCCUGUGCAGGAUCCAUCGAUUGCUUGCAUCUCACAGUCUCACUCCAAUAAAAUGUUUAAAUAAUUAGAUCGUAAAUUUAGUCCUUUAUUUUCAAU